GAACUCAACACCAUCAGCAUCAAUGCGACUCCAUAAACGCUGCGCCUUCCCUUUCGGUCACCUAGUCUACCGAACACCACCUGACCUAUUGCGGUGCCGAGAAGGGUGGUGCUGACCAUUAAAGCGACUACACCGGUUGGGAUUUCGUAUUUGUUGGGUUCAGGCCUGUCCUCGUAGUACAUCCUUCCUAUAAGUUUCAUAAUUGGAGGGAUGCAGAAGAAAUCGUAGGCGUCAGUGAAGAGGCCCAUCCCUGCUACGAUGAUGGCUUUGAAGUGGUAAUACUGAGUUCUUGCAGAGUCAAGGGCAGAAAGGACUUUUAACGGCAUUGUUGCUGCUGAUGUUAAGAAGUUGGAAAGUGGAAAGGAAAUGAAAAUGGGUAAUCUGAUGUUGGAGCGAUUGAAAAUGGAGUUUUUGAAUUUUAUAUACAGAAAUGAAGAAAGGAAAUUGAUUUGUGAAGGUAAGCUAUGAGAAAUUUCGAUG
rnacentral:misc_RNA from 1 species